rnacentral:rRNA from 1 species
CCUACGGGAGGCAGCAGUGGGGAAUUUUCUGCAAUGGGCGAAAGCCUGACAGAGCAAUACCGCGUGAGGGAUGACAGCCCUAUGGGUUGUAAACCUCUUUUUUCAGGGAGGAAGUUCUGACGUUACCUGAAGAAUAAGCAUCGGCUAACUCCGUGCCAGCAGCCGCGGUAAU